rnacentral:rRNA from 1 species
UCAGGACGAACGCUGGCGGCGUGCUUAACACAUGCAAGUCGAACGGAAAGGCCCCUUCGGGGGUACUCGAGUGGCGAACGGGUGAGUAACACGUGGGCAAUCUGCCCUGCACUUCGGGAUAAGCCUGGGAAACUGGGUCUAAUACCGGAUAGGACCUUUAGGCGCAUGUCUAUUGGUGGAAAGCUUUUGCGGUGUGGGAUGGGCCCGCGGCCUAUCAGCUUGUUGGUGGGGUGAUGGCCUACCAAGGCGACGACGGGUAGCCGGCCUGAGAGGGUGUCCGGCCACACUGGGACUGAGAUACGGCCCAGACUCCUACGGGAGGCAGCAGUGGGGAAUAUUGCACAAUGGGCGCAAGCCUGAUGCAGCGACGCCGCGUGGGGGAUGACGGCCUUCGGGUUGUAAACCUCUUUCACCAUCGACGAAGGUCCGGGUUUUCUCGGA